rnacentral:lncRNA from 1 species
CUUUUAAGGGGGAGAGGCUGUAACACCAAAUGUGUUUAAGACCUAAAGAAGGCCAUCAUUAGGUCCAUGAUGAAAUUUGUCUUAAAAGGAGGUAUUAUGAGUUAAGUCAAAUUUGGGUCAAAUGUGGUCAAAAAAUCAAAUUAAAGAUUCAAAUUUGGAAAAAUUUGACCAAAUGAGGAAUCAAGAGUUGAAAGUGCUUAGAAUUCAAUGGCAUCAAGUUUGAGAGGAAAUUCAAGUGAUAAGGACCUCAAUGGCAUAGUCAAAGUUGUUGCCUAGAGUCAACUUGAACAGAAUCUGG